AUUACUGUUUUUUAAGUGGUAGGGCUCACAGACUGUGUGAAGUCCUGUGUGAAGUGCUGGUGUGGCCACCUACCCAGGUGUCCCUCCCUUUUGUUUUGGAGGCCUGUGUCCUUGUCCAGGGGCAGCCCUCCUUCCCAGGUGUGGCCAGAAGAACCCCCCAUCCCAAGACUUGAAAUGUCUGUUGCUCACCUCUGUCCCUCCAGAACUCGGCUUCCCCAUCUUCACUUGCAAAACAAGUGCAGCCCUGCGCCCAUCAGCACCCCCUCCGGUGUGCACACAGGCCAGUGAGCGGUGGCCGACCAGCGCACCCCACUCCCCCAACCUCCACAACCCAUCAAGCGGAGGCCGCCUCCGCUAGGGGAGGACCAUGUGCUGCACCCUGGCCUGGGGACCUACAGGGUGUGGGUUAGACGCAUUCCCACUGGGCGGCUCCUUUCUGCCCCGAAGCCCACCCCUGUGGCGAGGCCCUAGGAGACCUCCCGUGGGGCCGCCUCUACAGACAGCACUCAGCCUCCUGGGCUGCCUCCAGCCAGGCCCAGCACAUGCCUGCCCUCCAGAAAAAUACGUUGCUUUCCAGAAGGAGGUGGGGGACCAUGGGCAGGCACUGUGGACGCUAACCUCGGCCCCUCCACCCAUUCCUCAGGGCCCACGUCCAGGGGGACCAAGACCUGCAUUCCUAGGGCUGCAGGUGGCUCAGUGGUGCAGAGGCAUCCAGACCUUCUGCUGAACUAAGAACCACCCAGCCUAGAGGGAGCCUUUCUCUGCCUCUUCCUCCCCUGUCUUGGGCACAGGUGGGGUUGGAGCCCCCAUGGGGCCCGCUGGGAACCUGGACCAAGCCUUCCUCGGAGAUGGGAGGAAGCCGCGGGGUGGAGCAGGGGCAGGUAGGUGAGGUUGAGCUGCACUUGAGUUCCCUCUGGAGUUUCCUUCAUCUGCCCCACACCCAAAUUUGCACUUUAAUUUGACCAUCCCUGGGGGCCUGGCUGCUGACAGAAGGGCUCUCUCUGCCCUCCACUCCAAAGUGGGUGCCCCCCCACCCUUGGCCAGGACAGGGAGGGAGCCGCUGGCUGCUGCCGGAGGUGGUGGCUGCACAGAGGACGCCUGACUGCUGUUCAGGCCCGCACAAUGUCCCGUGCCCCUUCCUCACUCGUUUGUAAUCGCCGUCUGUUUUGUUCUGGGUAAGGAAGGCAAGAGCUAUAGAUAAAACUUAAAUAAUAAUAAUUUAAUGUGAAUGGGUUCUGAGCUCUCCCUGCGCCCCGGGCGGGCCAGGCCGAGCAUUUUGCACUAAUGUGUCCCACGGUGGGCGUGAGUCGGGAGUGUCUGUGGACGUGCGUGGCUGCUGAGCGGACCUGCUGUGUGCUCCCUCCACGUCCUGAAUGUACCGUGGGGCGGGGGCGGCGGCCCGGGCUCAGAGGGGCCUUCCAGAGUGCCUUAGCAUCCUUUGAUCAUUUUUCCCAAGGAAACCAAUUAAGAAAGCCGGACCCUUCCCUCCUUUGUUUACAAGAUGACUAAUUCUAGAAUCCGGGGUUGUCCUGUCCUGUGAGUGUGACCCUGACUCAUCCAGACCCUGUAGAGAGAGACGAGCCACUCAGUAUUUAUGAGAUGUCUGCACCUUUAUCCCUAAGCCUGACUAUUAGCAAUACGCAUAUCCUAUAUAGAAUCUAUUACAGAGCUACGUUAUCUCCACACCUUUUGAGGAGGACAGAAGGGACUGGACCGUGUUGGAGCUGCCGCCUGGCAGGUGGUGGGCCUGGGAUCUAGCCGCCUCUCCUGCCCUGCCUUCCUCUUCCCCAAGGGGAUGGGCCCAGGAGGCAGCUGGGUUGCAUGGAGAGGUCCAGGAGGGACCGGAGGUGUGACAGAUACUGUGAGCCCGGCGGGCCGCGCCUGGCUGGGUGCCUCGGUACUUGAAUUCUGUCUUGUUUUCCGCAUUGUGUCUGUCCACCCGAGUUCUCUGUCGUCACUUAACUUUGCAUUGGAUUUGGUUGUUGUACUUUGCCCCUGAAUGUGGACAAAGCUGUGGGCAAGAGGUCAGCAGGACCCGCCUGGGGGUGCCGGCGUUGGUGACUGCGGGUCGGGGCUCCUAGAACAUAGGAGCCGGCUGCCUGGCCUCCUUUCUCCUCCAGGAAGAGUCAUUCUUUGGCAUUUGUGUUUAGAGCCAGGAGGAAGGCGGAAGGUAGGGAGGGAGGGCUGGUCCCCCUCUGAGGGGGCUCUAGUGCCUGACCCUGACCUGUCCUCAUUCGACAGCUGAAACUGUUAAGCGCUGGCCCAGUCCCCCCACCCCACCCAGCCGUGUACUGCCUGGGCUCCCCUCAAAGGGAAAUUUUUAUGGAAACAUCUUGGCAGCAAGUGGAAAAAGAUCUAUGGCCCAUGAACCAACUGAAAACUCCAAGAACCCUCUGUCUGCCUCUGCCAGCAGCGAGUCCUAAGCGCAGAAUCCAGAGCUCGUAGCUGUCCUCAGCUGUAACUACUGUUUCAGAAUGUUGCUGCUGCAUACUUUUGUCAUGUCAGCCAGCCAGCUCCGUGGGUGAGAGUGUGCGUGUGCGCGUGUCUGUGUGUGUGUGCGUGUCUGUGUGUG
rnacentral:lncRNA from 1 species